rnacentral:snoRNA from 1 species
GAUGCAGCCCCCGGAUGAGGCCGCAGUAUUUUCCUUAUAUGAUCGGGCCCCAUGGCUGACGGCGCCGCUGGCCCGGAGCCUGAGAGGAUUAUGAAAAUGUGUCAGGAGAAAUGGGGCCA